GUGCUCUUAGAGUGGAGGUCAUAGUUCAUAAUUCCCAAGUUCUCUGUGUGUGUCAACUGAUAUUUCUGCUGCCAAUACAAUAUUUAUUUACUUGGUUGAGUCCGUUUUCUAUGAUUGUGAGGCAACAAUAUAUCCAAUUGUUAUACUGCACAAAACGUAGUAGCCCUAGCCUACGCCGAGAAAACGAAAUAACCAGUAACCGCACUACAUUUAUAAGCUGUCUGUCGGCUGUCUACUGUGCACGUAGCGGAACUAAAGUCCGUGGCACAGAGCACCACGGACAUGUAAACACUGCGCACCUAAACACAGGGAAAAAGUUCCAGUGAGAAGAUGACAAGAGUUGGGAGUCUUGGACAUCCAGAUUAACCGAAUGGCUAUCGGAUGUCUGCAAUUUGCGAUGUCUGAAGUGGUUCUGGAUGAAAUAGCUGCGCUGUCCGCAAUAUACUGCGACAAGGACGAGUUCGAGGUGCUGGAAGAUUCAGACGAACAGGGAACGGUCUUCUGUAUCCAGGUCUCGGCUGAUAAAUCUACCGGGGAGAGUGUUUACCUGCGGCUGGUGUUUCGCCUCCCGCCGGGGUACCCCGCGCGCCUUCCAGAAGUGUCCGUGUCGUCAGAGCAGCUCACCCGGAAGCAGUGCCGGCUGUUGAGAGAGAGCGCUUUGCAGCGGGCUGGGGUUUUGGCGCCAGAACCCAUGGUCCUCGAGCUGGUGCGGUGGGUGCAGGAGACUCUGUCAGAGCAGAGUCUGGACCCGGGCUGGUCUGGGGAGCAGCAGGGGGGAGAGGAGAUGAAGCAGAGAGAGGAGGAGGAGAGGAGGAGAGAGGAGGGUGCUGGCUGGACAGCCCUGCUGCUGGUGGACCACAUGAGGAGCAGGGAGAGGUACGUGAAGAUGAUCCGGAGGUGGAGCUCGGAGCUGCAGCUGGUUGGAAGGCUGUUCCUGGGGCCCCUCAUCCUGGUGCUGCUGCAGGGACCACACGCCAACAUCAAGGAGUACAUCCAUCUCCAGAGGACUGUGAAGGUAGAUGUGGACUCGUCUGGGAAGAGGUGUAAAGAGAAGAUGAUGAAGGUCCUCUAUGAACAACCCUCCUCCUCCUCUAAACAACCCAAACAGAUGUCGUCUUUUGAAGUCGUUGAGUUUUCAUCCCUGGAUCAGAUGAGGCGUGCGUUUGAGGAUGUUGGACAACUGGAACUGUUUCAGGAGUUUGUUCCAACCUUGUAGAAGCCAUCGCAUCACUUCCUGUCAUGGAAAGAAAAUGUCCACUUCCUGUGUGAGGACACAGGAACAGGAAGUGGAUGGAAUAGAUAUGGCACUGAGCCAACACGGUCUCACAGCCUCCAUCUUGGUUAUCAGGGACGAGGAACAGAGAAUAGGUGUUGACACGUUUGUUUAGUCCUCCGUGACCUGCCGUUCAUAAGAGCGGGUUCGGUGGUCUGCUCCUCUGCUGAACUGGACCUGUGUACACCGGGGACAGUCUGGAGUUCAAAUCGAACACACUCCACCUCUGUACUGCGGUCAGAUUGUUUGACGAAGCAGGUAUAAUGAAACCAUGGCAACACCUUUACCAUCUCCUGUCCUGGACAUAAAUACACCUGGCCUUUCCCCCAGGGCACACACAACACACCACACACACACGCAUCACACUGACCCACACACACACCACACGCAUGCACACACACAUUCUCUUAAUUACACUGCGGAAAUGGCAGUCAUUCACCUCACCCUUUCUCUCUGGGACCCAGACAACAGACCGGGAGGCGUGUCUGGGUGUGUGUGUGUCUGGGUGUGUGUGUGUCUGGGGGUG